CCUACGGGAGGCAGCAGUGAGGAAUAUUGGUCAAUGGGCGCGAGCCUGAACCAGCCAAGUCGCGUGAGGGAUGACGGUCCUACGGAUUGUAAACCUCUUUUGCCGGGGAGCAAGCGUUCGUUCGUGAACGCGCGUCGAGAGUACCCGUAGAAAAAGCAUCGGCUAACUCCGUGCCAGCAGCCGCGGUAAUACGGAGGAUGCGAGCGUUCUCCGGAUUUAUUGGGUUUAAGGCGCUCGUAGGCGGUAUGUCAAGUCAAGGGUGAAAUCCCCGCGCUCAACGUGGGAACUGCCUUUGAAACUGGCAAACUGGAGUGUGUGAGAGGAUAGUGGAAUUCCAGGUGUAGGAGUGAAAUCCGUAGAUAUCGGGAGGAACAUCAGUGGCGAAGGCGACUAUCUGGAACAUAACUGACGCUGAGGAGCGAAAGCGUGGGUAGCAAACAGGAUUAGAUACCCUUGUAGUC
rnacentral:rRNA from 1 species